rnacentral:rRNA from 1 species
GACGAACGCUGGCGGCGUGCCUAAUACAUGCAAGUAGGACGCAGUUGCGAACGGGUGAGUAACGCGUAGGUAACUUCCUAUUAGAGGGGGAUAACUAUUGGAAACGAUAGCUAAUACCGCAUACUAGUAGAUGGACCUGCGUUGUAUUAGCUAGUAGGUAGGGUAAUGGCCUACCUAGGCGACGAUACAUAGCCGACCGGAGGUGGGGAUCGGCCAAACUGGGACUGGGACACGGCCCAGACUCCUACGGGAGGCAGCAGUAGGGAAUCGUCGGAAAUGGGGGGAACCCUGAACGAGCAACGCCGCGUGAGUGAAGAAGGUUUUCGGAUCGUAAAGCUCUGUUGUUAAGGAAGCGGUACUUAACCAGAAAGGGACGGCUAACUACGUGCCAGCCGCCGCGGUAAUAC